AUAUUGGACAAUGGGGGAAACCCUGAUCCAGCGACGCCGCGUGAAUGAUGAAGGCCUUAGGGUUGUAAAGUUCUUUCGUCCGUGACGAUGAUGACAGUAGCGGAAGAAGAAGCUCCGGCUAACUUCGUGCCAGCAGCCGCGGUAAUACGAAGGGGGCUAGCGUUGCUCGGAAUUACUGGGCGUAAAGCGCACGUAGGUGGCGAUUCAAGUUAGAUGUGAAAGGCCCGGGCUCAACCCGGGAACUGCAUUUGAUACUGAAUUGCUAGAGUCCAAGAGAGGGUAGUGGAAUUCCCAGUGUAGAGGUGAAAUUCGUAGAUAUUGGGAAGAACACCAGUGGCGAAGGCGGCUACCUGGCUUGGUACUGACACUGAGGUGCGAAAGCGUGGGGAGCGAACAGG
rnacentral:rRNA from 1 species